GUCACAUUUGAAAAACUCACACUUGGUACUGGUGGGACUGAACUUCGACAUCCGAAAGGGCUCUGGAUUACAAGUCAAUCAUUCUGUCCACCUAACGCUCUAAAAUGCUAUGUAGCGCUACGGCCGAUCUACUUUGUGUUUUGAAAAGCUACAAUAACCUUCAUGACGUCAUCAAAUACGUAAUUAUUUUCGCUCUCAUCGCGCUUCAAACGCCUCACCUCAAGAAGUGGGUUAGCGGUAACAUUUCUUAUAUUUGGCGGGAAAUAUCAAUUAGUGAAGAGCGUUGCGUGGUGCGUAAUGAAAAAUAUGGUUGCCAAGAUGCCGCAAUUGCAAAUAAUAGACGAUGAAACAAAUGUGUGUUACAUAUUAAAUUUAAGUGAAGAAGAAUAUUCUUAUGCUUUAACAGAUUUAAUAUAUUGCACACAAUUACUUGAAAAAGUAAAAACGCAAAAUAUGAUACAAAGAAAGUAAUACAGUGGAUGAAGAAAAAAAGAAGCAUCCAAUACUAAUGAAGCAUACAAUGAUGGUUUUAGAUGGGUAGAUGGAGCUAUUAGAUUACUCUUAGCAACAUACAAAGAACAAGAAGAUUUAUUGAACAGUGGGAAAGUAUCGGUAAAAAGAUUUUGGCAAAUAAUCUCUGAAAAAUUGAGAAAAGCAUCAUACGAUAUCAUAGGGUUACAGUGCAAAAGUAAAUUGAAUGGGUUAAAAAAACCUACAAAAUAAAGACCACAACGCAAAGAGUGGUAACCAUAGAUGUACUUGGUCCUAU